UUUAAUAUGGCAGAUUUAGUGCAAUGGAUUUAAAUUCCAUAUAUAAAGAAAAUCUAAUUAAUCUUUUAUUAAAA
rnacentral:tRNA from 1 species